rnacentral:rRNA from 1 species
GGCCGCGGGAAUUCGAUUCAGGCCUAACACAUGCAAGUAAAAAGAUUCUCUUCGGAGAAGAGCGGCGGACGGGUGAGUAACGCGUGGGUAACCUGCCCUGUACACAGGGAUAACAUACCGAAAGGUAUGCUAAUACGAGAUAAUAUGCUUUUAUCGCAUGGUAGAAGUAUCAAAGCUCCGGCGGUACAGGAUGGACCCGCGUCUGAUUAGCUAGUUGGUGAGGUAACGGCUCACCAAGGCGACGAUCAGUAGCCGACCUGAGAGGGGGAUCGGCCACAUUGGAAGUGGGACACGGUC